UGCUGUACGCCGCGAUGACGUCAUCACGUGGUGACGUCUCGCGGAAUAAAUUAGUGGUAACAUUCCGCGAGACGUCACCACGUGAUGACGUCAUCGCGGCGUACAGCA